CAGUAGCCGCGGGAAUACGUAGGUGGCAAGCGUUGUCCGGAAUUAUUGGGCGUAAAGGGCUCGCAGGCGGUUUCUUAAGUCUGAUGUGAAAGCCCCCGGCUCAACCGGGGAGGGUCAUUGGAAACUGGGAAACUUGAGUGCAGAAGAGGAGAGUGGAAUUCCACGUGUAGCGGUGAAAUGCGUAGAGAUGUGGAGGAGCACCAGUGGCGAAGGCGACUCUCUGGUCUGUAACUGACGCUGAGGAGCGAAAGCGUGGGGAGCGAACAGGAUUAGAUACCCCUGUAGUCCCUGUCUCUUAUAC
rnacentral:rRNA from 1 species